rnacentral:rRNA from 1 species
UCAUACAUGCAGUCGAGCGCGAAACACCUUCGGGUGAUGUAGAGCGGCAAACGGGUGAGUAACAGGUGGAUAAUCUGCCCUCUGGCGGGGGAUAACGGCUGGAAACGGCCGCUAAUACCGCAUGUGGUUGCCGGUGCUUUGGCACUGGCAAAGAAAGGUUCACGGCGUCACCAGAGGAUGAGUCCGCCCCCCAUUAGCUUGUUGGUAAGGUAACGGCUUACCAAGGCUUCGAUGGGUAGCCGAGCUGAGAGGUUGAUCGGCCACACUGGGACUGAGAUACGGCCCAGACACCUACGGGUGGCAGCAGUAGGGAAUAUUGCGCAAUGGACGAAAGUCUGACGCAGCCAUGCCGCGUGAGUGAUGAAGGCCUUCGGGUCGUAAAGCUCUUUUCUGGGGGAAGAACAAGUCGGGAGUGGAAAGCCCUGGCCCUGACGGUACCUCAGGAAUAAGUAACGGCUAACUCCGUGCCAGCAGCCGCGGUAAUACGGAGGUUACGAGCGUUGUUCGGAUUAACUGGGCGUAAAGGGAGCGCAGGCGGUUUGGAUAGUCUGAAGUGAAAGCCCGAGGCUCAACCUCGGAAGUGCUUCAGAAACUUCCAAACUUGAGUACGUGAGAGGAGUGCGGAAUUCCAGGUGUAGCGGUGAAAUGCGUAGAUAUCUGGAGGAACACCGGUGGCGAAAGCGGCACUCUGGCACGACACUGACGCUGAGGCUCGAAAGCGUGGGGAGCGAACGGGAUUAGAUACCCCGGUAGUCCACGCCGUAAACGUUGUACACUAGGUGUGGGAGGUAUCGACUCCUUCCGUGCCGAAGCUAACGCAUUAAGUGUACCGCCUGGGGAGUACGCUCGCAAGAGUGUAACUCAAAGGAAUUGACGGGGGCCCGCACAAGCGGUGGAGCAUGUGGUUUAAUUAUGCAACGCGAAGAACCUUACCCAGGCUUGACAUCCCGCGACCGCUCUGGAAACAGAGUUUUCCCUUCGGGGACGCGGUGACAGGUGUUGCAUGGCUGUCGUCAGCUCGUGUCGUGAGAUGUUGGGUUAAGUCCCGCAACGAGCGCAACCCCUAUCCUUAGUUACCAGCACGUUAUGGUGGGCACUCUAAGGAGACUGCCGGUGAUAAACCGGAGGAAGGUGGGGACGACGUCAAGUCAUCACGGCCCUUAUGGUCUGGGGCUACACACGUGCUACAAUGGCCAGUACAGAGGGUUGCAAUACCGCGAGGUGGAGCCAAUCUCAAAAAGCCGGUCUCAGUUCGGAUUGGAGUCUGCAACUCGACUCCAUGAAGUUGGAAUCGAUAGUAAUCGCGUAUCAGCUACGACGCGGUGAAUACGUUCCCGGGCCUUGUACCCACCGCCCGUCACAUGACCCGAGUCGGGUUGCACCCGAAGUCACUGCCCAACCCGCAAGGGAGGGAGUGC